AGCUUGCUGUUUCGCUGACGAGUGGCGGACGGGUGAGUAAUGUCUGGGAAACUGCCUGAUGGAGGGGGAUAACUACUGGAAACGGUAGCUAAUACCGCAUAACGUCGCAAGACCAAAGAGGGGGACCUUCGGGCCUCUUGCCAUCGGAUGUGCCCAGAUGGGAUUAGCUAGUAGGUGGGGUAACGGCUCACCUAGGCGACGAUCCCUAGCUGGUCUGAGAGGAUGACCAGCCACACUGGAACUGAGACACGGUCCAGACUCCUACGGGAGGCAGCAGUGGGGAAUAUUGCACAAUGGGCGCAAGCCUGAUGCAGCCAUGCCGCGUGUAUGAAGAAGGCCUUAGGGUUGUAAAGUACUUUCAGCGGGGAGGAAGGUGAUAAGGUUAAUACCCUUGUCAAU
rnacentral:rRNA from 1 species